GUGGGGAAUAUUGGACAAUGGGCGAAAGCCUGAUCCAGCCAUGCCGCGUGUGUGAAGAAGGUCUUCGGAUUGUAAAGCACUUUAAGUUGGGGGGAAGGGCAGUAAGUUAAUACCUUGCUGUUUUGACGUUACCGACAGAAUAAGCACCGGCUAACUUCGUGCCAGCAGCCGCGGUAAUACGAAGGGUGCAAGCGUUAAUCGGAAUUACUGGGCGUAAAGCGCGCGUAGGUGGUUUUGUAAGUUGGAGGUGAAAUCCCCGGGCUCAACCUGGGAACUGCCUCCAAAACUGCAUGACUAGAGUACGGUAGAGGGUAGUGGAAUUUCCUGUGUAGCGGUGAAAUGCGUAGAUAUAGGAAGGAACACCAGUGGCGAAGGCGACUACCUGGACUGAUACUGACACUGAGGUGCGAAAGCGUGGGGAGCAAACAGGAUUAGAAACCCCGGUAGUCC
rnacentral:rRNA from 1 species